CAGGGUCCUUCUCCCACAUCAGCAGUUCUCUCCUCUGCAUCCCCCAUGAUGUUUGAAUAACUUGCAUCCUGCCAGUGCCACUACAGCAGUCUGGGCGACAGUCUCUUCCAUUCCCCCACAGAAAUAACUGUCUGCAAUACAAUCCCCGAGCUUCCUGGGCACCACCCAUUCCCUACCGAAUUUCUGCGGCAUCACCAGGCUUGUGAUCAUCUUCAUCCCUCCUGCCUACCACCUGCUCUGCCCUUUCAUUGUUUAUUCAGCAUCUUGGCUAGCAGCAGCAGCAUUCUGUCAAUGUGUUAGCUAAACAAAAGCCCUUCUCAAGACUUUGGUGCUGUGUCAAUAAAUCGGGUGUUGCAUUCAGAGGUGCCACAGAUUGAAGUUUAGAAGAGAAGAGGCUCCCUCCAAAGACGAGAGUGUGUGAGUAAGCGUGCCGGGCUUAACAGCUUUUCCUUCUCCCCAGUGGCGAUUGCAACAGGAUUGCAACAGCCCAGCCUAGCUGAGCCACUGCACGUAGUACGGAUGUGUCUGCAGUGCUAACUUCGAGAGAAGACACGAGGCAGG
rnacentral:lncRNA from 1 species